GAUCUAACAAGUGAGUUUCAUGUUUGGAAGGACAAGUGCCCUCCUGCCAGCCACGGUGCCCAUGAGUUUUCUCUUGCUUCAAAGAUUCUUCACCCACACUCACUUACACUAUCUGCCUGGCCCUCGGGCACUAAAAUCUGUGUCCGUUUGAAAGAUGACCCUCAAAGAGGAGCACUGGGGAAUGUACAAAGGCUUGGUAAAGAGGUAAAAGCAUGAGAAUGCCAGGAGGAGGGAUUAUACUGAAGAAAGAGGAAACAUAUAUAAUGGAAUCCAUUGAGAUGGGAACCACUAGCUGUUGAAACCACUGAAACAGCUCAGAGUGACCAGUUUCCUGCAAAGGGUGCAAUGAAUGAAGAGUUCUGGAGGUCAAAAGUCAUUCCUUGCCUUUUCCAGCUGCCCACAUCCCCUGGCUCAUGGCUGCAUCACUGUAACUUCUGCUUCUGUUGUCACAUCUCCUCCUCUGACUCUCCUUGUGCACCCUCACUUUCUCUCCUAAGGACCCUUGCGAUGACAUUAGGCCCAUCCAGAUGAUCCUGGAUAAUCUCAUCUCAAGAUCCUUAGUUUAUUCACCUCUGCAAAGUUCCAUCUGUCAUAUAGAGUAACAUAUUCACAGGUCCUGGGAAUCAGGACAUGGGUACCUUUGGUAUUACCCUGCCUACUACACUGAGCUGUAUGGUAAUUCUACAUUAAACAUUUUGAGAAACUGCCAAGCUGUGUUCCAAAGUAGUUGCACCAUUUUACAUUCCUUCCAGCAAUAGAUGAGGGUUGCAAUUUCUCUACAGCUUAACCAACACCUGUUAUUGUCUGUCUUUUUAAUUAUAGCCAUCCUAAUGGGAAUGAUGUGGUCUCUCUUUGUGGUUUUGAUUUGCAUUUCCCUAUUGACUGAUGAUGUUGAGGAUAUUUGCACAUGUCUGAGAUCAUAAGAACCUGUUUGGUUUGUUUUUAUCAGAGACUGAGGGAGCUGAGGAAAUAAAACGCAUUCCCUAAGCUUUCUUGGUGUGUUCUCUCUUGCUUCUCACCUCUCUCUCAUAGCCCCUUGCACGAUUCAAUGUUGUCUGUUAACUGUUAGGAAGGUAG